rnacentral:rRNA from 1 species
CCCUUAGAUGUCCGGGGCUGCACGCGCGCUACACUGAAGGAAUCAGCGUGCUAAAACCAUUGCCGAAAGGCAUUGGUAAACCCAUUAAAAUCCUACGUGAUUGGGAUCGGGAAUUGCAAUUAUUUCCCUUGAACGAGGAAUUCCCAGUAAGUGUGGGUCAUAAGCUCGCGUUGAUUACGUCCCUGCCCUUUGUACACACCGCCCGUCGCUGCCCGGGACUGAGCCGUUUCGAGAAAAGCGGGGACUGCUGCUGUCGGGGCUUUCGGGCCUUGGCUUCGGUGGAAACCGCUUUAAUCGCAGUGGCUUGAACCGGGCAAAAGUCGUANCA